AGAGGCGCGUCGAGGUUUCGCGCCCAACGCCUUGAUUUCUUUUUGUACUGCUCGCUCCGAUGCCUGCUGCUCAGUGUCCCCACGCGUGACAGGCCGGGCGCGCGGGCGGCCGCAGAGGGGCUGGGCCUUACGUGUCAACUCGGCACUUUCGGUUCUGCGGGGUCGGCCUGAGGCGGACCCCACCCCAUCCCACCCCAGUCCCCAGGCCAGCCCGGAUCCGGGAGGUGGCCGCUGAGGUUUUCCAGCGGGACUGUGGGCCCCUUCCCCACCCCCAGCUGGGCCCGCAGGAUUUUUUACCUCCCUUUUGGCUGAGAGGGGGUGGGUGGGCGUAGGGUGUGGCCCAGGUGAAAGACACAGCAAGUUUUAAAAAGAAAUUCAUACUCUGAACACCAGACAGGAGAUCCUAGAGGAGAUUUAGAAUCACUUUUUCUGUGCAAAGAGCUUGAGAGAAGAGCAAGUGUGGGCGCUGUGAUGAUGAAGAUGAAAUGGCGAAGGCAGCGUCCCCCGGCCUCCGGGAAAGUCGCUCCCUGAGGCCGGGGCGGUGGGCGCACCCCGGCCUGAGAGGCCUCUCGCCCCGCUCCUCGCCUGUGAAGCCCACGCUCCCGGAGUCCCCCAAACACGCCCCCAAACCCACAUUUCCCCAGUUCUUCCCCGUCCCAGGCCCCCGCGCCGGGCGGCCGGGGUUGCGAUGGGGGCACGUUGCCGAGCGGGGGUGAGGGCAGAGGGGACCCACGCGGGCGGCCGUGGUGCGGGGCCCGGGCUGCGCGCCGCCGUGGCCCUCCCCAGGCGCCGGCGAGCCGGGCGGGCUUUCGAAAUGCGCGGGGCUGCGGAUCAUUGGAGCCCAGGGUAGGGGUGGGAGCGGGCUGCAGCGCCGGAGGGUCGGCGAACUCGGGAAGGCUCUCCCCUUAGCUCCGAUAUCCCCACGGCCGGGGAGGCGGCCGGUUACUCAGGUGGAGAGUCCGUUUGCGGAGAGGAGUGGGAGCUUUCGCUGCUUUCUCAGCGCAGAGGAGAGGAGGAGGGAGGAAAGUUUCUGAGAAACCGCCCAGCCCGGCUGCGCGGCGGAGGCGCGGCCGCCCGGGCGCGGGAACUGCGCGCGACGACGGCGACAGUGCGGGGGGCUGCACGUUACAGAUGAGGGAGCAACACUUGAUGGCCUUCUCGUCCCGAGGCACCAGCCAGCCCGACCCCGCAACUGCCGCGGCGGGCGGGCGCGGAACUGCGGGGCAGUUUGGGGAGACGACGGCGCAGUGGCUUGGGUAGUGGGGCAAGGGGUGGCGGGCGACGGCGGCCGCAACCCCGCAAAGGGACGUUCACGGCGAAGGACGAGCUGAACUGCGGGUCAUUUUGGGAGGCUUGACACAGGCGGGUAAAGGACGAAGGACACGGUGACUCGGGGCUGCGUUCCUGUGGACGUGCCUGGCGCGGCGAGCAUCCACUUCUCCCUGGCCCGCAUAACUAAAACGCAAUCUCUCAAAAUUCUGUUUAAAGAGACCUCUUUAGGAAAGGAGACUGGGGUGCCUGCAGCAAUCCAGGCGAUAUUUUUUAUUCUGUUAGAGACACUUUCUGAAUUAUCUUUUUUUACUCAGAGGAACUUUAAUUUCAUUAUUUUCUGACCCUCCUCUCCUUCCUAUUUCGAAUUGUUUUUCUUGCUCCUUCAGUCUGUUUUCGAAAAACACUCUUGGAUGCGAGUUUCAAACAAAAUCACAAAACACCUCUAGUCUUUCAUUAAAAUAAUACCUACUUGAAAGAUGUAGCCCAGCCACUAAAGGACCUAUUUUUCCCUUCCAGGAAGCCGAAGAGUCCAACCUGCUCAAAAAAAAAAAAAAAAAAAAAAAAUCUUCGGGUCAAAAACUGUUCAAACUACUCUUUGAGAGCUCCUUUUGGGGUACGAUAAAGGAAAUGUAAAAACUGUAUAUCUGCUGUAUGGCUAUGGAGACUCAAAAUCCUCAGAUUUGGUUACUUACAUUAGCCAGUUUUUGGUUGUGUAGAUUAUAACAAGGAAAUACCCCGUUUCUAAAUAUAGAAAUUGAAAGAA